UACGGAGGGUGCAAGCGUUAUCCGGAUUUAUUGGGUUUAAAGGGUCCGUAGGCGUGUCUAUAAGUCAGUGGUGAAAUCUCAUAGCUUAACUAUGAAACUGCCAUUGAUACUGUAGGUCUUGAGUAAGGUAGAGGUAGCUGGAAUAAGUAGUGUAGCGGUGAAAUGCAUAGAUAUUACUUAGAACACCAAUUGCGAAGGCAGGUUACCAUGUCUUAACUGACGCUGAUGGACGAAAGCGUGGGGAGCGAACAGG
rnacentral:rRNA from 1 species